rnacentral:rRNA from 1 species
CGCUGUCACUCCUACGGGGAGCAGCAGUAGGGAAUCUUCACAAUGGGCGCAAGCCUGAUGGAGCAACACCGCGUGAGUGAAGAAGGGUUUCGGCUCGUAAAGCUCUGUUAGUUAAAGAAGAACACGUAUGAGAGUAACUGUUCAUACGUUGACGGUAUUACCAGAAAGUCACGGCUAACUACGUGCCAGCAGCCGCGGUAAUACGUAGGUGGCAAGCGUUAUCCGGAUUUAUUGGGCGUAAAGAGAGUGCAGGCGGUUUUCUAAGUCUGAUGUGAAAGCCUUCGGCUUAACCGGAGAAGUGCAUCGGAAACUGGAUAACUUGAGUGCAGAAGAGGGUAGUGGAACUCCAUGUGUAGCGGUGGAAUGCGUAGAUAUAUGGAAGAACACCAGUGGCGAAGGCGGCUACCUGGUCUGCAACUGACGCUGAGACUCGAAAGCAUGGGUAGCGAACAGGAUUAGAUACCCUGGUAG